UGGGGAAUUUUGGACAAUGGGCGAAAGCCUGAUCCAGCAAUGCCGCGUGUGUGAAGAAGGCCUUCGGGUUGUAAAGCACUUUUGUCCGGAAAGAAAUCCUUGGCUCUAAUACAGUCGGGGGAUGACGGUACCGGAAGAAUAAGCACCGGCUAACUACGUGCCAGCAGCCGCGGUAAUACGUAGGGUGCAAGCGUUAAUCGGAAUUACUGGGCGUAAAGCGUGCGCAGGCGGUUUGCUAAGACCGAUGUGAAAUCCCCGGGCUCAACCUGGGAACUGCAUUGGUGACUGGCAGGCUAGAGUAUGGCAGAGGGGGGUAGAAUUCCACGUGUAGCAGUGAAAUGCGUAGAGAUGUGGAGGAAUACCGAUGGCGAAGGCAGCCCCCUGGGCCAAAUACUGACGCUCAUGCACGAAAGCGUGGGGAGCAAAUAGGAUUAGAUACCCUGGUAGUCCACGCCCUAAAGCGAUGUCAACUAGUUGUUGGGGAUUCAUUUCCUUAGUAACGUAGCUAACGCGUGAAGUUGACCGCCUGGGGGAGUACGGUCGCAAGAUUAAAACUCAAAUGAAUUGACGGGGUCAUAGCUGUUUCCUG
rnacentral:rRNA from 1 species